rnacentral:lncRNA from 1 species
UCCUGGAACAGUUGACUCCCCCAUCUAACACGUUCCGUACCACAACAUUCAAAGCAUGAAUGCCUUUCACAUCAUAUAUCUCUACUGACACAUUCUCAUCGACUGGUACUUUUCCAUCCAUUUCCAUAAACGAAGAGGUAGAUAACAGAACUGACAUCACGUUUUUAACCCAUUGAGGAGUAAUGAUGAGUUUCAGACGCUCUAUAUCUGGUGGACAAUGAGGGAUUAGUGAGAAGUUUAUGUCGUUUCCUUUAUCACCUGCCCUGCUAUGAGCAACAGAGUAGAGUGGGAUCUUUUGGCCAUAUGGAGCAGGAGAGCGAUGAACUCCAGAUGAAUCCAUCCAUUGAUCCCCUCUCUUUGUCAGGAUAUUUUGACUAUCGGUAGAGGUCUACAAGUGGAAACCAAUACCAAGCUGUUAAUUGAUCAUUUUGAUAAUAUAACCGACCUGACCAACUACUGUCUCACUAACCUUUCCUAUUUUCUCUCGAGCAACUGGAAAAUGAUGUUCAGGGGUCUCUGACUCUGACGUGUUGGUGUGCUCAAUUCCAGUUUUCCACAUCACAGAUUCACGGCUUACCUGGAUAACCACCAAACAUAUAACAUCAGAAGCCGAGAAAUUGAUUUAUGCAAGGCUAUAUCCAGUUAUAAUUCCAUGAGAGAGACGACGUACCAAACGCUUUUCAAGAACAAUCUCCAUCUUGUGUCCGGUACUGCAUUUUAUCACAAGCAGCCAAGUCAAACCAAAAGAAAACAAAAAGACAAUCCAGAAUCUCAUAUAUAUAUGCUCUCCUUUAACAAAUAACUACUUUCAUUACACUGAGAUUGCCAAGAUAUUAGAUUAUCAGAUACAAAGACAGAAACACACGUUUGUCUAAGUCACUACGUCAUUCAUAAGACGUAUCAAAACUAUCUGGCUCUGAUAUUGUGAUGCUACAAUAAGGAUUGGAUAGUGAAACGGCUGUAGUGUAUAGCAAACAUAAACGUGAAUAGAGUACCUAAUUCCACCACCACCAGCGGGUCCGUUUGUAUAUAAAGCAGUAAACUCUUUCGUUAACUGGACUGCAUGUUCCUUCAGUUUGAACAGACCAUCCAUGCGUAAUCUAAUAUCUCCACAGGAGUUCCAAGACGAUUCUGCGCCAUUACUUGCCGCCUUCAAGCUAUCAAGCCCAAUCACAUAAGAAAUAAUACAGUUAUCAACACCAGGAACGGUUUCUUCCAUCCAAGAUCGAACCUGAAAACACAAGUAAAGUACAUGCACACUUGAUAAGAAAUGGAACUUCAGUUACAAGCACUAUAAGGAGACAUUUUAGGCGAAGCAGACUCUUAUAGAGGCAAAUAAUGCUCUACUACAUCAUAGACAUUUUAACCAUAGGCACACCAGAAGCUCUGAGGCUUUAGCACGUUGAAUAGAUCCAUGUCCUCCAUAUGAUAUCUCUCCCCAUCCUUUCCAACCACACUCCUGCACAGAAAGUUUGAUAUUAUAGAACCAAACCUAGCUUGCUCUUUAGUAUCAAUCUACUGUUACCAUCAAUAAAAAACCUUUGGAAUUAACCGCAAGAGUUUCUCAGGCACAGAGGUAUUAGCAGACGGUUUUGCUCCAAUGCAUUGUACUUUGAAGUCUGACAGGGGAAGGAAAGAAACGUCUUGAAUAUCAAUUACCUGCAAAGAAGGUUUACAAAUCAACUCUUUCCGCUCUUGUUAUAGUUAUUUCUUCUACAUUUUGUACCUCUUAACUUACCACAUCUGGUGUAAUGUAGGCGCUAGGAUCAGCAAUUUCGUAUAGAAGUUGCUCGGCGCAAGUGCUGGUGUUUAAUAUUCCACCACUACCUUCAGCCUUUAAAACACAUACUUUUCCGUCAUAGCCAAUCUCAGCAUAAGGAAGUGACAAGUCCUGGAGGAGAGGGAAAUCCAUGUCUCUAUACUGGUCACCUGAAUAACAUUGAAGAAUCAAAUGACCGGUAAUGAAAAAAAAACCUACUAAUAAUAUCAUGAGCCAGCAAGUGGGAAGCGCACCUGGAUGCAUGAAGUAUCCACCAGUGAGCUGACAACCGCACUCAAGAAGGUGGCCAGCAAGAGUUCCCUGAGCUAGCAGCUCCAAGUCAUUCCAAUUCCAACCUAGUUCAUAGACCUAUCGAUGCAACAAGGAGAUGAUCAGAUUAUAUUAGCCACUAAGAAAUACUAGGCUCUUGAGUCUAGAUUCAAGCGAAAGGAGAUGAAUGAUGAGAUAUGAUUAAAAUCAGAACUAGGACGAAAUCCCAGCAACCGGAGUGGCUAUCAAUGGUUGGAUAGCUAUCCUCACCAUAGGAGCCAAGAAUAAGGCGGCAUCAGCAACUCUUGAGGUGAUUAUAACGUCAGGUUGGUACUUCUCAAGGCAUUCGACAAUAGGAGCUGCUCCAAUAUAAGUGCUAGCACCCUUCAACAAGAAAAGAAACAUCUCAGGAAACACACAUAUAUCACUACUAGGAGUGAGGGAAACAGGAUGCUACCCCAUCAGAGCAAUAUUGAUCCCCAAAUGAUGAUCCAGAGCCUAAAUAAAAAGGAUUCGGAGCCAAAGGUUAGAAUAGACACACAGAGAGAGUGUAACUUAAGGGGUGAAAGUAAAUCUAACAAAACUGAAUUAGUACCGGUUUCAGAAUGCAGCUCAUGAGCCACAGCCACAGAAAUGGUGAGGCCUAAAUCAGUGGCUACCUCAAGAACUUUCUUCUGAGCCCCGAGAGGAUCAACUACAAGGGACAAAGCAGGAUCAUUUAUAUGAAAGAGAAAAGAAUAUAUACAACAAGAGGAAGAAGGAAAGAAGGGAUGAGAGAUCAUACUAGCACCCAUGUUAGUGAUAAUACAAGUGCCUUUCUCCACAGCCAAAGGUAGUAACAAACUCAUCCACUCUGAUACUGUAAAAACAAAAAAAAUGAGCAGAAAAAAACAUCAGCCACUCACUCUGAUGAGACUAUUAUAUAUAUAUAUAUAUAUAUAUAUAAAAUCAAUCAAAUCUGGAAACAUAUAUACCGCGAGGGUCGUAACCGUCGCCGCGAGAAGACAUAGAGAGCCAGCGAUCAGCCAGGGUUCGUUCGGCUAAGCACUCAAGGACAAGAUAGUUUAUCUCUUCCACUCUCUGGAGGAGUUUGAGAGCCGCCACUGGCCUGUCUCCGCCGAAUCCAGCUCCACAUCCCACGUAAACCGUCUCCUUUCGCCGCUUCGGGUUCUCUCUCUGGACAUUGAAACCCAAUCAAAGAAUAUCAUAUCCUCCCCCCCCCAACAAACAAAAACAAUUUGAGUUUUCCCUUACCAACUUUAUCACACAGUCGCAGAGAAUCUCUUUGUUCGCCAUGGAAGCACCAGUGCGCAGGAGAUGAUAUGUAACCUCCCAAUAAUUAUAUGAUCGCCGAUUGGUUAAGCUGAGGAAUUUCGAAUUUUGGAGAGACGUGACGGAUUCGAGUGGCCGCCGAGUGUGUCAGAGUUUAUUCUUUCUUUCUUUUUUAAAAAAACAAGAGUGAGUUUAUGCUUAUCCCAUUUGAUUAAAGUUGUAAUAUUUAAAAGAUGAUUCCUAUUUGUUUACAAGGUGACGAUUUAUUUAUUUAUUUGUUUGUCUACUGCUUACGUGUGUUGGAACUUGCCAAGGGAAAAAUAUGUAUUAAUUCAAACUAAAGUUAUGUUGUAAUAAUACACAACAUUUAUGUUUCCCAUUGUUGACAUAAAGCAGUAAAAAUUAGCAAUAAGAAAUUGCAGGAAAUUAAAAGAGAUGAAAAUGAUGAAGAGAUCAGCAAUGCAUAAGGGAAAAAGUAGAGAGCCGAAAACAUUUUAUAUGCGGUUUUAGAUCAUCUCUGUGUAUUUUCUGUUUUUCCUUUCAAAUAUUUUUGAAAUAUAGUAUAGAUAAAUUUUAAAAUAGAGAUAAAUCUUCUCCAGUGUAAUGUAUGUCUCUAAAAUAGAAGAUGUUUAGACCAAAAAAAAAAAUAGAAGAUGUUACUUCUUCAUCUAAAUAUAAAUGAAUAGUAUUUUCUAUAAAUAAAAAUAGUAAUUUUUAAAGUAGAAAAUAGAGAUUUAUUGAAGAAAAAUGUCCUCUAUAAUAGUAUUUGGAGUCAAGUAAAAAAAUUCUUUCAACUAUUCAUAAAAUCAUGGCAAGGCCAGCAUGAAAGUUUCUUUUGAUAUGCUUUAGUAAACUAUUUAUACGGAUCUCUCAUCCUGCUUUGUCUUAAUGUUACCGAUUGAUAACAAUAAGAAUUGAAUACCACAUACUGCUAUACCAUAAAUGGCAAAGAGUUACCUGGCAAAACCAUUAUGCCAUUUACCCAAGUUGUUUCUAUACGUAUAUAUAGUGAAUUAAGCAUAUAAUUGGUGUAUCUGUUCAGCAACGCUUCUACCAAGAGUUCGCCCUAAACGCUCCCAGGCACGGGGCUCGAGGUACACCGAAUUUCAAUGUCUUCCGGCGCCGGCGACGCGUUUUCCCGCCGGCGCUGGUCUCUCUCGUCGACGCUGUCUUCUGCCUUCAUUCCACUGUUUGCUGCUCACUUCAAAUUUCAGAUGCUACGCAGUCGUAGCCUUUUGCAAACCGAAGAAAGGGAUACCCGACGGAGCCUUUGUCGGAGACAUGAGCUUCGGCUCCCCGUCUUCAAUGUAGUCCUCCCGACGGCUCUUCCUACUUGCUCGGUCUGCUCUCCAGCGAUGAGUCGAGAGGAAUCUCUCGCCACCGUUGUUCUCCGGUUCACGGGAACGUUUCCCGGUGAACUCCAUUCUGGCUGUCGACGGAAAAGCUAUACUGUCGACCUUAGCCACGUUCUUCAACUUAUCAUAGAGCUAAGCUCUCAACGCUCAAGCUCUUGCUUUCCAUCUCCGGAAAGUGAGACAGCAAAACUACCGCAUGUCGCUCCUUUAUACUCAUAUGGCUCCAGAGUGCAAUGCAACUCAAGCUCAGAUCCGAAUCUCAUAGGAAGAUCUUCACCUUCCUCUCCUCCUAGUGAGCUGCCAUUUCCCCUUGCGUGCCCCUUCCUCAACGGAGGAUCUGCAUAUCAUCACCGAACGUCUCUCUCUACAUCUGGGUUCGAUGGUCACUCAGCUUGCUCCGGUGAGCUCGUCUCUCCGCCGGUGAGUACCAUCUAUCUCUCAGUCGACGUCUACUGCACCAUCUCCGACCUUCAAUUUCGAUCAACGACGUCUCGAACUUUGCCGGCGACUGCUUCAGAACCAAAGAGAUAUGUACCUAAGUGGGCCUGGCCCAAUUCUUUUCUUGAAGCUAUUAAGGUGAUUACCAAGAACCUAAAGCCCAUAUUUUCAAAUCAAAACAUGCGAUAUAUAGUUGUGGGUAUGGCCUUUUUGGUCAUGUUAAAGAUGUUCGAUGGAUUCUUCGAGAUCAAUAAGCUGAGAUUAUUACAAUAUCAUCUCUUUUGGAAGAAUUUUUAUGUGGGUUCACCAACUCUGGUAUGGGUUUCAUCAUCCUCCUCAAACGAGGAGAGUUUUUCACAACUAUGCCUCCCUUCUAUGAACGGAGAUGCUCUCUCGGAUUCUCUGCUGAGUCCUUGUUUCAACUUACUCACCGGUUUGUUACUUUGCGUAGCGGUCUGUACGGGGCCAGAAAGUGCAAUCGAGACUACUUCGGUUUUUCUCGUUGGUGAGGGUUGUCCCUCAACGUCACUUGUGACUAUUUCUCAGCUAUCCGACUUUGUUGUAGCUUCUUCGACGCAUUCAGACUUUGUUUUGAAUUCGCUGUCAACUUCAUAUGGAGACUUAUCCGGUUUGAUAUCAUUUUCCAUUUUAGUUUAUGAUUUGUCUUCAAGAGGAUGUCUAAUUCCCUCUUUCCUUUGUAGUCCUUGAAGUUAAGUUUUAAUGAAAGUUGUGUUUCAAAAAACAGAAAGUGAAGCACCACUAAAGUCGAUUUCUUGAAUAUAAAUUAUAUAUAGUGCAGUAGUACAAAGUCUCAUUUGCACAAACAUGAUUACCACACAAUUAUUGAUUUGAAUAAAGUAAAAAAUUAGUAGUGUCAUAACACAACUUGUUGACACAAGAUGAGAUCUGAGAUUGUCUUUCCAUGUCUAUCAAUUCUCCUGGAACAGUUGACUCCCCCAUCUAACACGUUCCGUACCACAACAUUCAAAGCAUGAAUGCCUUUCACAUCAUAUAUCUCUACUGACACAUUCUCAUCGACUGGUACUUUUCCAUCCAUUUCCAUAAACGAAGAGGUAGAUAACAGAACUGACAUCACGUUUUUAACCCAUUGAGGAGUAAUGAUGAGUUUCAGACGCUCUAUAUCUGGUGGACAAUGAGGGAUUAGUGAGAAGUUUAUGUCGUUUCCUUUAUCACCUGCCCUGCUAUGAGCAACAGAGUAGAG